rnacentral:rRNA from 1 species
AUUGAACGCUGGCGGUAGGCCUAACACAUGCAAGUCGAACGGCGGCACAGUAAUAGCUCGUGCAUACAGGUGGCGAGGGGCGGACGGGGGAUGGAAACAUCCGAGGCUACGGGUGCUAGGGUGAGGACACAGGCGCACUUACGCCAAUAGCGCAGAGGAAGUACGUGGGAAAGCAUGGGAUCUUCGGAUCUUACACGAGCGAAGGAGGCAAUGUCGGAUUAGCUAGUUGGUGGGGUAAAGGCCCACCAAGGCGACGAUCCGUAGCUGGUCUGAGAGGAUGAUCAGCCACACUGGAACUGAGACACGGUCCAGACUCCUACGGGAGGCAGCAGUGGGGAAUAUUGGACAAUGGGCGCAAGCCUGAUCCAGCCAUGCCGCGUGUGUGAAGAAGGUCUUCGGGUUGUAAAGCACUUUUGUUUGGAAAGAAGGGCAGUAGGUUAAUACCUUGCUGUUUUGACGUUACCAACAGAAUAAGCACCGGCUAACUUCGUG